UUAUUUGCUGUGGUUUGAUUUAUGACUAAUUUACUUUUCUAGCAUCUUCGCCAUUCACACUUUGUUGUUUAACGUGGUAAGAUUUUCUGGCUCAACUUGUUAGUUUUGGGUUUCAUUUGUGAGCAGUUUACCCUCAGUUAACAACUUUUGCUCUGUAUGUCAAACUUAGCAUUAUUACUGAGGUUUUUGAAUUUUAGACUAAAUAAAUGUCAGUUGAUUUAGAUUGCUAAAUCAUUGCUAAAUUUCAUUUUAACCCCUGUGUUGUUGUCCUUUAGGUCUAGGUGACACGGUGGCUGAUAAUACUCCUGUUUAUGCUCCUGUACUGCACGGAUUGUGCCAACAGGGUUUGUUUAAUCUUUACAACGUACGUUGAUCAAUCUUUUGACUGUUGAAUGCUGCAUAACUAAAGCACAAUCACAAUUUCAUAAGUACAGCAUGUAUAUAAAUGUCUAUAUAUAUGGAGAAUAUAUACAGUACGUGAGUAUAUCUGUGUAUAUGUGUAUAUAUAUAUAGAUCAUAUACUGUAUAUAUAUAUAUAUAGAGAGAGAGAGAGAUAGAGAAUAUAUACAGUAUAUGAAUGUGAGUAGUGUAUAGCUGCAGCAUCAACUCAAAUCCCUGAAUUAUUUUUUAAAAAUACAAUACUAUUAGGUAGGUUUGAUGCAUUAGAUUUUACUCACAUGUCACAGUUAGCCAAUUUCUUAUGUCGGGGUCUAAAAUUUCAAAAAGCCUGUGUAACAACGAAAUGAGACAGAAGAUGCUGUGGUCUGAUUUUACAGUCUCCUCCUCUUCAGUGAGACCCUGAUGGGCAGCAGUCCUCUCUUUGGCUCCCACUUCAACUAAUUAUCUGAUUAUUUCUGCUGAAGGCUGCCAGCAGCUGCAUGCACUGCAUUUCCAGGCUUUAUAUCCAGAUAAGUCGAAGCAGGCGUGCAAGCAAAGCAGUUUGGUCUCCAGCUCUGCUGGACACUGACCAGGAGGACAGGCACCACUGAGGAAAUGUCUGUCCACUGCAGGACAAGAUCGUCCUCUUACUCACACGCGCACACACACAUUUUCACCCACAGAGCUGGGAAGAGGGAUAGGGAAACUGAGAUCAUCUGAGGUAAGACACAAAGAGGCCACAGGAAGAGCCCGUGAACACAACAGGUAAAGGGUCCGGAGAGCAGGGGAUAAAGUUGGUUCAUCGUUUGUGAAUCAUCAUCUUUUUAGGAUUGUUUUGCAUUAAUGUGCAUUAAUUCUGGACUUGUGAUUCUCUCCUUACCUUUUGACCUUUUUACCUUCAGGGUUUAGAUAAUUUUCUCUCCAUUCACACUUGUUGUUGUUUAACGUGGUAAGAUUUUGCUUUAUGGAUCACCAUCUUUAACAGGUUACAGGACAGGAGAUGCUGACUCCACUGGUUCUACGAUGGACUGCAUUGCUCAGUGGCCUUCGACUUGCUGCUCCAUUCAUCACAACCAGUGUUCCUUCUGGCAGAAACAGCAGGUGGUUUGUUCACAAAUGUGACUCUUUUUUUCCUCCACCUCUUCCUCCGCCACCGUUUCCUCCUCUCCCACAUAGAGCGGAACUGAUGGUUGAUAUCACAGACUAUAUCACAGGACCUAAAGGUGAAAAGGGCUGUAGAGGAGCCAGGGGACCUGAGGGCAAACCUGGUGUGACGGGUCCAGAGGGAGAACCAGGAGCACAAGGGGUGAUGGGACCACCAGGUCCAAAGGGAGAGAAAGGAAACAGAGGAUGGAGGGGUCUGUACGGAGACAUAGGAACUCCUGGGAUGAUAAAGGGCACCAAAGGAUUUAGAGGAUUCAGAGGUAAUAAAGGUGCUAAAGGAAGGAGAGGAACCAGUGGAGAAAAGGGAGAACAUGGAAUCCCUGGACGGCUUGGAGUGAAGGGAAACCUGGGUGUGCAGGGUGACCCCGGCCAGAGGGGGGCGCAGGGACCCCGAGGAGAACCAGGAAGCAGAGGAGCCAUGGGGGUGAAAGGAUCUCGUGGACCUUCAGGACUGAUGGGUCAUCCUGGUCUAUCUGGAGCAGGGGGUCUGAAUGGACACCCUGGACUUCCUGGACAAGUUUUCAUCCUCCCAGGCCUCAGAGGAGAAACAGGGGAUCCAGGGAGAUGUGACUGUUUAACGCCACAACGGGUUCAAAACCCAGAACCACUGGACAGAGUGCAGACAAUCUUCCUGGCAGACGGGGAUAAACAGAUGAGAAGGCUGAGAGGAGAGAACGUGAUGGUGCUGAGGACGGACAGACGAGCUCUAUACAUCUACUCUGAUGCACAGUGGAUCAAUGUUAUGGAGGAGCCCAGACACUGAGCACACUGACCCUUGACCUCCUAUAGCACUGCUGCUAAAGUGGCCUUGAGCGAAAUAGAAGAUGAGAUGAUUACAUGAUGACUGCACUGAGCUGUUUCCAGGCUUAAUCGGAUCAAUCUGUGACCCCCACACAAGCUUUUAUACAAUUGUAUUUAUUCAGCAUUUUGUGUUUUUAUUAAUUAAUUUUAUGAAUCUAUUAAUGAGUUUUUAGCACAAAUUAUUCACUUAGCAGCAAUUAACAGACAUGUUAAAAAUCUAUAUAUAUAAUUUAGAAGUGUAAUAUAUUGUAAGAAUCUGACACUUGCUUUACACUUCAGUGAAGCUUUAUUGAUGAACAGUAGCCCUGUCUCACUGUUUAGCCACAACUCACGCUUUAUCUCCACAACAUUAACAGUGUAACUUUCUUUAGUAAAUCUGGCUCUCCCACCGUGCAUUCCCACACGUGGCACAGAGAGGUGACAGACAGUUGAGGAGGAUAGAGAGAUGUCAUAUAUGGAGACAGAGUUUGAGCCAGUGAUGUGCGGUCAGGGGAGGUGCUGCCUGCCCUUCCAUCAUGAUAAAGAAAAAAAAACCCACCCUACUGCAGGGCCACGAACGUCUGUAGACCUCACCAUGUUCAUCAGUGCCUCAAAUGACAACACCUCCAAGCUCUUUGACUGUGCCUCUCUGGAUCACAUCAAGACUUUUAAAACCGAGAGACCGGUGAACUCUGCCGUCAUUUCUCCCAUCGUGGAUCAGUGACGUUGAACCGGCUCCACACUCAAGGACCACUGCGUCGUCUGGGAUAUCGCUUUACUUUGGCCAUGAUCUAAACACAAGACGCAUAUUAAUAAUAAAAUAAAACUUGUCCACAGAGAACU